CUUGCACAGGUGAGGCAGAACUUGAGGCCCAAGGUCCUAGGAUCCUUUCCAGAGGCUCCUAUAGAUUCUUUUUUUCAUCAAGGCAAGAUGCUUCCUCAGACAUGCUUCCUCAGUGCACCAGGCAGAAACUGGAAAAAGAUUACAAUUCAACAUGGCAAAUGCUAAAACAGAGCUCCAGAAGCCAUGCCUAUAAUACACACAAGACUUUGUUUCAAAUCAGUUUUUCAGUUGAGGAGGAAUUCAAACUCAGGAAAAGAAGAGGAAUUUACAUUUGACCACAAAGACCGGAGAGGUCUUUGCACACGUUUCUUAAGGGAAAGACAUUUAGGAACUUGGAAACGUUUAUGCCCUAUAAUCAUAGAAUGUGAGGAGCAGCCAGGCGUCUCUGAGGCCAGCAAGGUUAAUGACAUGAUUUUGGAGAUGAGAAAAUUGAGGCCAGAGAAAUCAAAUGACUCAUCCACAUCUGGGACAGGCCAAAGCAGGCACAGGGAUAAAGAACAACUGUUGAGAGAUGGAACUUGCAGCCCAGAUCCUUGGCCGGAGCGUCCCAGCGCUCUGCUUCAUCCAGUCCCAGCUGAUCAGAGUUUCAGCAAAGAGAGAACAUGCUUUCUUAACGGUACACAUGUUCGCUGAGAGUGGAGGAGGGGGGAUGAAGGAGAAGCAAGUUUUCCAUCUGAAAAGAACAUGAGCAUCUGCCUAGCAAUGAAC
rnacentral:lncRNA from 1 species